rnacentral:rRNA from 1 species
AGCAGCCGCGGUAAUUCCAGCUCCAAUAGCGUAUAUUAAAGUUGUUGCAGUUAAAAAGCUCGUAGUUGAAUUUCGGGAUCGACGGGUCGGUCGCGCCUCUGGUGUGUACUGGCCCUGUCGGUUUCUCCCUUCUGACGAACCACGAUGUCAUUAAUUUGGUGUCGUGGGAAAUCAGGACUGUUACUUUGAAAAAAUUAGAGUGUUUAAAGCAGGCAUUCGCUUGAAUACAUUAGCAUGGAAUAAUGAAAUAGGACGUUUGAUCUUAUUUUGUUGGUUUCUAAGAUCGACGUAAUGAUUAAUAGGGAUAGUUGGGGGCAUUAGUAUUCAAUUGUCAGAGGUGAAAUUCUUGGAUUUAUUGAAGACUAACUACUGCGAAAGCAUUUGCCAAGGAUGUUUUCAUUAAUCAAGAACGAAAGUUAGGGGAUCGAAGACGAUCAGAUACCGUCGUAGUCUUAACCAUAAACUAUGCCGACUAGGGAUCGGAUGAUGUUAAUUUUUAAUGACUCAUUCGGCGCUUACG